GGGAAAUAUUCAGGAAGAAGGACCAGGAGGGCUUCACGAAGCUCUCCAGAGAUGUGUCCCAUCCCACGGUCUUUGGUGGCUGGUACCUCUGAGGAACAGAUUUUAAACAACUGAUGCAUCUUUUCAUGGCUGUUAUGAUUCCUGGGAAGUCCUCUGAGGGAGAUAGAGAAACCCUACACUGAUAGGAAUCAGCAGGGUACAGUUUUUUGUCGAAGUCCGUUGCAUCGUCCAGUAAGGAACAAAGUAGGAGAGGCCUCAGGGAUUCUGCAGGAGAUGAGCUGCCCGCUGGCCCCCUUCCGUGGGCUUGUGCCCCAGGGGGUCUGCUCUCCGGUGUCCUUCCCCAUUUCCACCAGGAUUUACAUCACAGGAGCUCCUGAGGGGCCACAGGGACCAGUGCUACGGCCCCUUUGACCCAUGGGUAGGGGCGCCCUACCAAGCCAGAAAAGAUGUCCUUGAGCCAAGGUCAGUGACCUGAAAUGGGGCCCCUACUUGACCUCGGACCUGUCCGUGAGACUUUUGAAGAAUUCCUACCAGUGACGGCCU
rnacentral:lncRNA from 1 species